CCUACGGGAGGCAGCAGUAGGGAAUCUUUCACAAUGGGCGAAAGCCUGAUGGAGCAACGCCGCGUGCAGGAUGAAGGCCUUCGGGUUGUACACUGCUUUUAUAAGCGAGAAAUAUGAUGGUAACUUAUGAAUAAGGAUCGGCUAACUACGUGCCAGCAGCCGCGGUCAUACGUAGGAUCCGAGCAUUAUCCGGAGUGACUGGGUGUAAAGAGUUGCGUAGGUGGCAUAAUAAGUAGCUAGUGAAAUCUGGUGGCUCAACCAUUCAGACUAUUAGCUAAACUGUUAAGCUCGAGACCGUUAGGGGUAACUGGAAUUUCUAGUGUAGGAGUGAAAUCCGUAGAUAUAAGAAGGAACACCAAUAGCGUAGGCAGGUUGCUGGGACGGUUCUGACACUAAGGCACGAAAGCGUAGGGAGCAAACGGGAUUAGAUACCCCGGUAGUC
rnacentral:rRNA from 1 species